rnacentral:rRNA from 1 species
UACGAAGGGGGCUAGCGUUGCUCGGAAUUACUGGGCGUAAAGCGCACGUAGGCGGUCUUUUAAGUCGGGGGUGAAAUCCUGGAGCUCAACUCCAGAACUGCCUUCGAUACUGGAAGACUUGAGUCCGGGAGAGGUGAGUGGAACUGCGAGUGUAGAGGUGAAAUUCGUAGAUAUCGGGAGGAACACCUGUGGCGAAAGCGGCUCACUGGACCAUAACUGACGCUGAUGCACGAAAGCUGGGGGAGCAAACAGG